rnacentral:lncRNA from 1 species
GUCUUCCAUGAAAAAAUGUCAGCUCAACUAAGAGUUGUGCUUACAGAUGUAUGGUGGGGCUCCUUAUCAGAGUUUUUGCUUUCUAUGUUUACUUGCAGUCUGAAAAUAAUUGCUAAGAGCAGUGAGAAAUUAAGAUACUUAGAAAGCACAUUUACUUUUAUUACAGUAUGUCAUUAUAACUGUUCUAUUUUAUUACUAGCUAUCAUUGUUAAUCUCUUUCUGAGUUCUAUUAAUAAAUUAAACUUAUCAUAGAUAUUUAUGUAUAAGAAAAAGCAUAGUAUAUGAAGGAUUUGGUACUAACCACAGUUUCUGGCAUCCCCUGGGGUCUUGGAACAUAUUCCCUACUGACAUUCAGCUUCACAGCUCAGAGAUCAUACCAGUGACCAUACUUUGACUAGCCUUGCUUUUGGUUAGGGGGUCAGGAAACAUUUUUGUAAGGGACCAGAUAAUAAAUAUUUUAGGCUUUCUGAGCCACAUAAGCUGUCUUAUGUUAUUGUUUUUUUUUUAUUUUUUUAUUGGUUGUUCAAAACAUUACAAAGCUCUUGACAUAUCAUAUUUCAUACAUUAGAUUCAAGUGGGUUAUGAACUCCCAUUUUUACCCCAAAUACAGAUUGCAGAAUCAUAUCGGUUACACAUCCACAUUUUUACAUAAUGCCCUAUUAGUAACUGUUGUAUUCUGCUACCUUUCCUAUCCUCUACUAUCCCCCCUCCCCUCCCCUCCCAUCUUCUCCCUCUACCCCAUCUCCUGUAAUUCAUUUCUCUCCUUGUUUAUUUUCCCAUUCCCCUCACAACCUUAUGUUAUUGUUAAAACAUUGUAAAACCCAUUCUGAGAGCUCUAGGGGCCAUCCAAAGACAAGCCACAGGCUGUCUGCGGCCAUGGGCUGUGGUUUUUGCUUUAGACUAGAACUAUUUUUAGAGUACAAGUUAUGUGAAAAAAAAUCUUGAUUAUAAAAAUAUAAUUAUGGAUGUUGCUGAAAUGAAAGCAAGGAAGUUAAACUGAGUGGGAUAAAUAUAUGAUCAUUUAUAAAUUUUACAUA